CUGGGCGUAGUUCAGAUGGCUAGAACGCCAGAAUCGGGAUCUGGUGGUCGUGGGUUCAAAUCCCACCGUCCAGACCA
rnacentral:tRNA from 2 species